GCACAAAAAUGCAAAAAAGAUGGCACUAAAUAGACCUCAGAAAGAACACAUUUACAUUAUGAAUGCUGAGACAGGAAAGCAGAGUAUCACCAUAUUCAAUCUCAGCUAGGAAUGUACACAUCAGGUGACUCAAAUUACCACUCUUUAUAUGCCUGCAAAUGCCAAGAAAGCACCACAAACAUUGAUUUUGAGGUUCCAAUAAAUGUUAGUGAGUAGGCAAAUUUGCAAACACAGAAUGUGUGAUAAUAAAAAAUGACUGUGUACACACACUCACUUUUGCAUGUAGCAAACAUUAAAUCAUUUUUUAAAUGGGAAGAAAGAACAUUCCUUAUGCCUUUGUAGCUCAAAGGUGUGAUUGAGUUAAAUGCAUCUGCUCAUAUCAUAAAAAGGCUUGACUCCUCCUCCACUAUACCGCCUCCACAAUGAUCUCACACAGUGAUUCUAGAAGUAACCAGGGUACUGCCUCCCAAGGUUCUUUGUGCACCCUACUCGUCCUGCUGUACUUGUCCAAUCUCUCAGAGGUUGCUUUACUCACUGGUCCACAUGUGCUGUCAAGACUUCCAGAGAAGCUUCAAUACCCAAUGCUCAUUGGCAUAAGAAAGCCAUGACCAUGGCUUAUAUGCAGUUUCUGCGUUCACCUAAAAGGAUGUCAUCUUCCAGGAGCUGAUGGGCACCAUGCAUACACAAAGCUGAGUCAAUAUAAAAGUUCUAUUAACUUGAAAUGGAGAAAACACAUUUUCUUGAAAGAUGGAAAUUCCAAUGAUUGCCUGAUGGACAGAUAUCAUCAAGGAUCUCCAUUUAUUUUAGCUGAAAUUCAGAAUAUGUAUUCGAAGAUUAGCCUUAACUCCCAACAACAAAAAAACAGUCUAGUAAUAUAUCCAAGGCCAUAAGAGUGUCUGUUGCUUGCAUCCUUGGGAGUCUGGAAGGAUAAAGUCAUCAGUGCGAUGGAACAACUUCCCUGAAGAAGGGCAUGAAAAGUCACCAACACUUGCUUCUACCCGAGAGCCCUGAUCCAUUGGCCUAUGGAACUUGCUAAUUCUCAGAACCACAAUGACAAAAAUCAUAGUUGUCGUUGGCAUUCUCUUGUCCCUUUGAGUCCUCAAUCUCAAUAUAUUAAACCACCAGAUGAAGUAGUCAGGAUUGGGUCAAAUUAUGCAAGAACACGACCUACAGAGUAAUGGACAACAUUUACUUGAAUUCGUCUGGAAGUGUGUAAAGUCAGGAGGCAUCACAGAUAACCCAGUGAACUGAGGCACAUUGAAAGAACAAUGGAGGGUGGCAGGAAGACCUGAAUAAUCACCUAUGAAGAAGCAUGAUCAUAGUCAUGAACAGCUGGAAAGAAAUCCAAAGCAGAAAACAAGCAAUGUUGUCAGAAGCUGGGGAAAUGGAAAUGGUGUGGCAGUGUGAAAGGAGGAAUAAUAGGGCAAAGGAUCAGAUCGAAGGCCAAGAAUUCAGAACUCCAACAGGAACUGAAAUCCCCUUUUAUGUAUGGGCUGGUGCAAGGAGAACAUAGGACAACACAAAAGACUUAGAUCAUUAGAAUCUUGCCCAUCAAAAUCCCUUACCAUUUCACCAAAUAGAUGACUGUGGGAGAUUUCCGGAGCAUGUUUGAUUUGGGACACUGGGACUCUUAGAUCUUACUUUUCUAUAUUUAUUACUUCUUGUUCUCAGAGUUUAAAAUGAGUAGCAUCUCUUAAGAACUGAGGCUUACCACUUUUAAAAAUAUCUACGACAAUAUUUUAAUAGAGAGGGAAAAGUAAUGUGACUUUGUUUAAUACACUGAAAAGAGAAAUCCGCACAUCGUUUUGGUUUUAUUCUUCACUAUCUUCUACUGUAUUUUAAUAUUUUGACUCUCAUAUUAUUUUACAUCUGGAAUGGGAGAUGUUAAGAUGUGUCAGUAACACCCAGUUAAUUCAUUUAAUUGCUAUUAUUAAGACAAUAUUUUUCUAUAUUAAGCAACAAUUUGAAAACUAUAAGAAAAUGUGAAUUUCGUAGAAAAAUAGAAUUUAUAGAUUUUUAAAAUAUGAUAUUUUAUCAUAAGCCACCAAAUUCAAAGAGCUUAUUAUGCAAAACAUAUUUCAAGAGUUUAUCAGAGUUCUCAGAUCUAGGACAAUUUAUCAUCCCUUAUUUCGGCUCAUCACGUUUACUCCUUUUUCCUGAUACAUAAGGUAAAGGAAAUAACCAAGAACCACAAGAGUACUGUAGUUGCCAUGUCAUCAUGAAAAGAAUCACACUCAGGAAGUUCAAUAGAUGUGACUAUUUCAGUAGGCUUAGAGUUAGGAUAGGAAGGAGAAGAACCAACAGAAUUCUGCCCACUAAGGAAUCAAGAUAAGAGGCAGAAAGACAAUAGAUCCAUGCAACCCAGAAUCCCUUCCUAGCACUUGAGUUGAACCAAAGAGAAGCAGGAAGUAAGGGCAACAGUCAAUCCCUUCAUCUCCCUCUUUCUCAAAGUCUCUUUUCCUCAAACCUUUUUCCUUCCUCAAAGUUGAACCACACUUUCGUGCACCACUACUUUUAUCUCCUUGUCUCUUUAUUGUUUCAUGCACUGUGAACACUAACUCUGCUUUUUAAAAUCCCUAUCGAAAUUCAUUUUGUAAAUAUCAAUUCCAAGAUUACUGCCAAUAUGAAAGAUUGAGGUGUCUUUUGUAUUUCACUACAGCAGGGUGAGGAAAUUACAGCUGUGCUUAAAUGUUAGAGAAAAGAUGUUAUUAGCCCUAGUCAUGGUAUACUGAGAAAUACAGAGGAAGGGGAUGUAUAACCAGUUGCCAAAGAGUUACUUUAUCAUCACUUUACUUUGCUCAAAAAACAUAGACAAAGGUGACUUCAUUACCACAAAUACUUUCCUGGUCUUUUAUUUCCCUGGCUUCAAAUCCUCUUACUUGGUGUACUCACUGACCAGUCCAGGAAAUGCAGAACAAGAGCUUGACAAGCUCAGCUUCUUCGAUUUCUGUAGAAAUAAGUUGUCAGAACUUGCCAUUGUUGAGCUAGCCUCACCUGCCCAAACACCAACUUAAAUAAACUAACAGUACCUGAAACAAAAGGAAUUUCAACCAUGAGUGUUAAAUAAGCCCUGAAAAUGGCAGACACUGAUGUGUAUUGUUGCUUAGUCUGAGCAAAUAUUGAAAUGUUAUUGUAAGCCUUCAGUUUAACUUUCAAUGUGCAUACCUGAGUGUCUCCUGUGGGUGGGACAGAGUGGAGCCGGGCGAAAGGGGGCCCACACUCCUAAAAGCAGACGCUUUCCCUAAUGCUGUGUUCUUACAUUCACUACUCCUGUUCAGCCUGAUAACAUACUCGAAAAAAAAUUAAAAUGCCCAAACUUCUUUUGCUAUCAGGUACUCCAAAAGAAAUGUAAAUUAGUGUCUGUCAUAAAGUUAUGGAGAAUGAAUUAAAGUCAUUAAUGUUAACACAUUAUUCACAAAAUGUAACACUUUUUCCGAAGUAGAAACUCAAUCAAUAGAAUGCAAUAAAUCAAACAUGAUUCAGUAGGGAAAGCGACCAGUUUCUAGUUCACUUAAAAGGGACUCGGGAUAAGGCAGCAGAACAGGUUACUUCUUAACACAUUUUUCACAUUUUUCACUAAAAAUAGAUAAAAUGUCUAAUUUCAGGCUCUGAACAGAAUGUGCUUUAAUGCAAUUUCUUUGAAAAUUUCUGUUUCUUGUGCACCUCUGAAUAUAUACUCAAUGUGAAUUAAUUAUCACUGGUUCCUUAGCUUAUAUUUUAGUUACUGCAAAAAAUAAAACCUGUCCCGUUUGUCUCUUCACUAGAAAAGAGAAGGUAAUACCUAUAUCAUUAGCAUGGUCUAUGGCCCUAGAAUCAAUGUGAUAUGUGGAAAGUUUUUCAGUCAGAUUGAGUUUACAAAGAACCAUGAUGUCUUAUGUGAUUGUACCUCUGAGAUCUGUGAUACUAUUUGCUCAGUUUCUUUUGUUUUUCCUGUUAACAUUUUCAUUUCAGUGUUGCUGAUAAUAUUCUAUUAUUUCACCCUUCUUUAUGUUUCUCAUGUAUUUUCCUUUCAGUUAGUCCUGUCGAAUUAACCAAAGAAUAAAACUAUAUAAUAUAGUCUUAUUAUAAGCAGAAGAAAAUGAAGAUGAUCUGAUGAGAUAAAUCACUGAAGGUUAAUAGCUUUUUUAAAAUCAAUCUUCCUUCAAAGGAAAAGGCUAAAUAGCUUAGUGGAUGAAACGCUAGCCUCUCACCUCUGAGACCAUAGUUCAAAUCUAAACUGUGAGGCCUUAAGCAACAUCUUUGCUGGGCGGCUAUCAGUCUCUAGUGGACAAAAAUCUGCAUUGCAUGAGUUUGAGACCACUGCAAUAACCCUCCCCCUACCCACCACCAUUCCUGUCUGAGGGCCUGAUGUGUUUCUUGUUUCCAGUCCAUCUUGUCCCUUAGGAAAUGGUCCAGGUAGGAGUUCACAUGACUGUCAGGAAACUGUGAGUGUUUUCAGAGCAGCUUCCUCAAAUAGCACCAGUGCUGUGAAGUCACUGGAGGCUGCUACUUCCCGGUUCUGACCCUCAGCUGUCACCCAAAGAACCUGACCUUCCCCUCCUAUAAACAGAGUGACACCUUUUCCUGUCAAUUAACAAACUAGGACAAACAGAAUUGAUCGCUUGGCUAUUCCAGACUAGCUAAGGACUCACUUACCAGAGAGUGGUUACUCAGGUAGAGGGCAAACUUCAGUAAUGAAAAUAAAAAUAAAAACUUCCAAACAAAAUGGGGAGGCAAAAAUGCACACAUAUAUAAACUCAUAUAUAAACAUGUAUAUACCUACACCCAUAUAUACACUCAUAUAUAAAUGUGUAUAUACCUAAAAGAGUGUGUAGCAAGUUUUAACAAAUACAAGUUUGGGCCAUCGUUUGGUCGCAUGGGUAAUCCUCCAUUGCUGGCUAUUUAAAAAGCUUCUUUGUGUUUACUCCUUAGUAAUGUGUUAUCAGCAUCCUUCAAUAAUGUAGUGCACUGCAUUUUGAGUCUCCAAAAGAGAUAUACAAAGUGUUUGCAGAACACACACAUGGCACAAAUAGCUAUUAUUUAAGGAGAUUGCAGUCAGCUCGAUUUUAUGGGCAAAGAUGUGUACAUAUAAUAAUCCUACUGUAAUGUCCAACUAAAAUCAGCACUUUAUUUCACUGUUUUAUGAUGAAAUAUGUUUUGUCUGUGCAUUUUAUGCAUUGUGCAAUAACCCACUUUAAAACAGAAGCAAUGUCUAAUUUUGGAACAAUUUGGACAGGAGAUGGUAUUUGCAUACAAUGAAAUGUGUAAGAAAAGUUUUAGAAUGUUGAUGCAUCUAUGAAAUUUCCAUGUUCCUCUAAAAUUAUUUAUUAAUGAUUGUUGUUUACUGCUAAUUCAAACCACCUGCAAAUCUCUUUGUUAUGAUUAAAGCGAGCUUUUUCCCCCCAGGCUGAUAGGUGGCUCUGUAAUUUUGGAGGAAAUAUGCUAAAGGUCAUGAGUUAAUACAUCCUCUGGUACUUUCUCUUCCCAUCCUUGCUUUCCCAAAUGGGAGGAAAGCUGUGUUGUAUUAUUUCCAUGUCUUUGUAAUGUCCAUUCAAAAUGAAAUUAGAGAGUGCAUUAGAAAGAGAGUAUCUGUGUGUACACAUAGCAAAAUCCACACGUAUUCUGUAUAGUCGAUUACUAAAAUUAUACAAUUGCCUUUUGAGAAAUUUUAUACAAAAAAAUCUUUCCUUAAUAAUCUAUGAAUAUCACUGUCUGAAUCAAGUACUAUUAUCCCUUUUAAAAUUAAACUAUCCACAAAACAUGCAUUUACUUUCCGCUAUACAAAAUGCUAAUAAUGCUUUUAGAAUGGUCUUUAAAAAGUCUAAUUAUAUCAUUUAAAAACUGAGAGACCAAAGGGCAAGCUAAAUUCUCCUAACAUAAAUCAGACUUUUUUUAUUUCAAUGACUUUAAAAACCUCAAAUGCAGUAAUUUUAAUAGCAAUGAAAGAAUGAAUAAGUCAUAACUCCGCCUGAUCACAUAACUGUCUAUAACUGUUAUUAAAUGCUCCAAAAUAAGUGAACUCAUUAUGUUUCUGCACUGCUUUUAGCUAAUCUAAGAUUCUGCUCACUUAAUCAUGCAGAAAAGGCUUCAGUGCAGUUUUAGACCCUCAGCAAGGUCACUUCAAUGCCUUUUUUCUGUUCUAUACUGAUCAUUUAAGAACAGCACUUUGACCUGAAACUGAUGCUGUCUCAUAUAAGCUUGAAUGUUUAACCCCCACAGAGCUGCAUUUUAGGUAUACGUUUGCACAGCCUAUUGUCAUAUUUGCUGCAAACUGAACUAGGUUCGCUUUUCAACAGUAAAGGAAAUGCCAAUCAGAAUUUGUAAAUGCCAUGUGCCCAGUGAAACUCCCUCUCAUAUGAUACAGAGACAGAAUUUAUGAUUUUAAAAAUAUACUGUUUUGUCUGUGAAUGGUUUAUUAAGUUGUAAUUGGCUUUUAGGUGUGGUGACUAAGUAUUUUUUUUUUUUUUUUUUUUUUACUGUUUUGUCAGACCAUAUGUAAAUUUAAAGUGGAGAAUUUAUCUAGCAAAGCAAUUCUUUUGGACACAGGUUGAGGCUCUCCAUGCAGUUAAGGAGACCACGAGAGAAAGUAAGGUUCUGGUCCUUUGCCAAUUGUCCAUUGCAACAAAGGCCAAUUUCAAACUUGAAUAAUAUUCCUGCAUGUCUGUUAAGUCACAAUAUUAAAACAGAUAUUAUAGCAAGGGUCGUAACAAUUGUUCUAGAAUACGGAGACAGGGUUUCCUGUUGUUGCAAAAGGAAUCUGCAUGUGAAAAGCACUCAAGUGAAGCAGUCCUAGGUGUAGAUAAGAAGCAAAAGACAA